rnacentral:rRNA from 1 species
AUUAAACGCUGGCGGCAUGCCUUACACAUGCAAGUCGAACGGCAGCACGGGGGCAACCCUGGUGGCGAGUGGCGGACGGGUGAGUAAAGCAUCGGAACGUAUCCUGGAGUGGGGGAUAACGUAGCGAAAGUUACGCUAAUACCGCAUAUUCUGUGAGCAGGAAAGCAGGGGAUCGCAAGACCUUGCGCUCUGGGAGCGGCCGAUGUCGGAUUAGCUAGUUGGUGGGGUAAAGGCCUACCAAGGCGACGGUCCGUAGCGGGUCUGAGAGGAUGAUCCGCCACACUGGGACUGAGACACGGCCCAGACUCCUACGGGAGGCAGCAGUGGGGAAUUUUGGACAAUGGGCGGAAGCUUGAUCCAGCCAUGCCGCGUGAGUGAAGAAGGCCUUC